GCAUUGGUGGCUCAUUGGCAGAAUGCUCGCCUUCCAGGUGGGAGAGCUGGGUUUGAUUCCCAGCCAGUGCA
rnacentral:tRNA from 1 species